CUCCCAACCUCCUCCAGUGCCAAGGACAACGGCUUGGAGGAAGAAGAGGAUGGCGGAGGACACAGAGGAGGACACAGCCGGGAAGAGAAGGCAACGUGAGCAGUGUGUCUGCGCCAAAAGCGGUUUGCUCGAGACGGGCCACAGCCGCUUCGGCAGCGAGGCGUUCUGCUCUGUUGCUGCAGGGGGAGUUGGUCCUCAAGUCCAAACCCCAGGCAGUAAAAGUGGCCGCUGACGGCCCCCCUGCUUCUGGUGCUCAGGGCCCUUCUGUGAGGACUAAGAAGUGGGAAGAAGUGGAGGCAGAGGAUCGAGCCCGCGUCGUCUCCGAGGGAGGUGACCCCGGUGCAGAGAUGGUCAUCCUGAGCCGGUGCACGGUUCGACAAGUACCGGGGUCAGACCUUCAAAUGGAUGAUGGAGAACGACGUGGGCUGCAUGGUGCACGUGGUAACAGUGCAUAAGAAGGAGAGCGAGCGAGAGGGCAGCGUUUCCCAGCAUCCCCUGAUGGGCCAACAAGGAGGCCUUGACUCGCUACUCGUGCGCCUAUCCGGCCUUCGCUGAGGCGGUCAGGUUCAACCGGACGCACGAGGAAGCUUAAGUCCUGUCCUCCCAGCCAGAUAUGUCAGGAGCUUGAGGACGCAGACACCCCGUUAUCCUGAGAGUGCGAUGGCCGCCUUGAUUGACUACAUUCAGCGCAGAGACCAGGAGGGGGUAGCUGCUGUGGCCAGGCCCGUCAGUAACACCCCCGUCAGUAACAACCGGCCCAACAGUGCGGCUACGGGAACUUCUCGGAGUGGAGUACCUGUACUCGUAGACUGGCAGAGUGCUGCAGGAUGUCAGCGCGGACCCUGACCUUCCGGAAGAGGCAGCCGCCGACGAGCAGCUUGACGAGGAGGACGAGGACUUUCAGGAGGAUGUGGACCAGACAGUCCACAUCCCUCAUGUCACUCCUAUGAGCGCCCCAUCCUCCAGCUCAGCGGCACCUCUGUCAGGGGAACCCGCUGACGCACCAGGUCUGGGUCAUCCAGUCCCACCGCCCUUUAAGACGGAAGCUCUUCUGAGGCCCCUGGUCGACACAGUCCUCCUCACCCUGACCCACUCCUCAG